AUGUUUCCUGGAACAUCACUGCCGGAGACCAGCACUAGCAUUAGGAAGAUGAUUUUGUGGGUCAAGAAAGUUCAACCAAUGCUCCAGCUGCUUGAUGAUGAUAUUAAUCUCUGGGUUCUUACAGACUCAGCAAAGCAAUUACCGAGAGGCACAUUCUUCUUAGAGACUGAUAGAGGGAUUAUACUCUUUCUAAAGCCAAAAUCAAAAGGUCUAUCAAAGCCACCCUCUCCUCCAAAAACAGCUGGAAGCACAUCCAUCAACAACACUGUGACCCUUCCUUCUCGUGCGUGGUCCUUAGAUCUAUACCCGAUCCCAUCCGUGCACAUUGAAACAUUUCCUCUUGAGAACAAAACCUUUGCUUCACUUUCAUGUGCAACCAGAAAAGAAGAAGAGACUUCCUAGCACGUAAAUAAUGAAUAUGGUGCUCAACAUGUAUGAAUGGCUAGUUAGAAUAUACUUCUGAAGAUCCUCCUUUGCUAUGAUCAAAACAUGAGAGAGAAAUAUUGGAAAAAGAUACAGGAAAACUAGAAAAAAUAUUGGAGAUUAGAAUUCCAUUUAAAGCAGAAACGUUUUUAUUAGGGACUAGCUGUGCCCGGCCACGUGUUGCUGUGGCGAAGUCUGGUGGUAUGGGAAAUAAAGUAUUGAGGAAUUGGUGGUAGUUAAGGUAAAGGGUAAAGGUUUUCCCCUGACAUUAAGUGCAGUCAUGUCUGACUCUGGGGGUUGGUGCUCAUCUCCAUUUCUAAGCCGAAGAGCCGGCGUUGUCCGUAGACUCCUCCAAGGUCAUGUGGGAUGACUGCAUGGAGUGGCGUUACCUUUCCACUGGAGAAGUACCUAUUGAUGCACUCACAUUUGCAUGUUUUCGAACUUCUGGGUUGGCAGAAGCUGGGGCUAACAGUGGGGGCUCACUCUGCUCCCCCAAUUCAAACCUGUGGCCUUUUGGUCCAGAAGUUCAGCAGCUCAGCGCUUUAACACGCUGCACCAUCAGGGGAUAUUAUUUCCUAAAGGUUGUGAAUAUACAAUAUUUCUGAUUUUUUUUGUCUGUUGGAGGCAAGUAUGAAUGCUGCAAUUAGGGAAGAUGAUUAAGAUGUAAUGGCCUUGCAGCUUUAAAGCCUAAGUCUGCCUGUCCUCUGGGCUGAGUUGGUUGCUAGGAGACCAAGUGGGCAGAGAUUUGUCCUGUAACUGGCAGUAAUUGGAUAAAAACAAUUAUUCCUCUCUCUCAAAUUGGGACUUUAUUUUUCUUUUCUUUUUUUUGUAUCAACCUAGAGGCGUGGAUGAUGGGUUGUGUUGUCAAAUUUCGAGGUUGGGUGGCCUGUAGUUUUGUUGUUUUGUUGGUCGCCGUGAUGCCAUCACUCAUUUAUAUAUAUAGAAACACGAAAUAAAAAUAGAAAAUAAUGAAGACAAAUUAUUAUUCUUAUUAACAACAGCGGCAAGGAUUUGCUAUGCCAAAUUAUGGAAGAAAUCCCAGAGGAAGACAAUUGGUUGAUAAAGGUGGUUGACAUACGUAACAUGGACAGGCUGACUUUCUUACUAGCAAAAAAUAAAGGAGAACCAAUCAAAGAAACAAAUUGGGACGGAAUGAUGGAAAACCUAAAAUGGAUAGAUGAGAGAAAGAAGCAAAAAUAGAUGAUAAAGGAAAAGGAAAGAUAAAAUAUAAAGAGAAAAAAGAUAACCUUAAUAUUAAUAAUAUUAAUAAUUAAUUAUAAUAAUAAUAAUUAAUAUUAAUAAUAUUAAUAAUAUUAUUUUAU
rnacentral:lncRNA from 11 species